rnacentral:rRNA from 1 species
GGAAUAUUGCGCAAUGGCCGAAAGGCUGACGCAGCGACGCCGCGUGUGGGAGGAAGCCCUUCGGGGUGUAUACCACUGUCAGAAGGGAAGAAACUCGGGCUCUCGAAUAGGGAGUACGAUUGACGGUACCGUCAGAGGAAGCGCCGGCUAACUCCGUGCCAGCAGCCGCGGUAAGACGGAGGGCGCAAGCGUUGUUCGGAAUUACUGAGCGUAAAGCGCGCGCAGGCGGUCUAUUAAGUCCCUUGUGAAAUUCCGGGGCUCAACCCCGGAGAUGCGUGGGAUACUGGUAGACUGGAGACCGGUAGAGGCUAGCGGAAUUCCUGGUGUAGCGGUGGAAUGCGUAGAUAUCAGGAGGAACACCGGUGGCGAAGGCGGCUAGCUGGGCCGGUUCUGACGCUCAUGUGCGAAAGCGUGGGGAGCA